UAAAAGGUUUUAUGUAGUCUUGAGUAAAACCACCAAAAAAAUCAUAAAAUAAAAAU
rfam:Psychroflexus salarius strain DSM 25661 genome assembly, contig: Ga0131153_115